GAUGAACGCUGGCGGCGUGCCUAAUACAUGCAAGUCGAGCGAACAGACGAGGAGCUUGCUCCUCUGACGUUAGCGGCGGACGGGUGAGUAACACGUGGAUAACCUACCUAUGAGGCUGGGAUAACUUCGGGAAACCGGAACUAAUACCGGGUAAUAUAUUUAACCGCAGGGUUCAGUAGUGAAAGACGGUUUUGCCGUCGGUUGUGGAUGGAUCCGCGCCGCAUUAGCUAGUUGGUGAGGUAAUGGCUUACCGAGGCAUCGAUGGGUAGCCGGCCUGGGAGGGUGACCGGCCACAUUGGGACUGAGGGGAGGCCCAGGCUGCUACGGGAGGCAGCAGGGGGGAAUCUUGCAGAAUGGGUGGAAGGCUGGUGCAGAAACGCCGUGUGCGGAAUGACUGUCUUAGGGGUGAAAAACGCGUUCGCACAUGACGAAGCUUUGUGUGACGGUAGUGGGUAAAGAAGCACCGGCUAACUACGUG
rnacentral:rRNA from 1 species